GUUUCUUUCUGCUGGCAGCAGAGGCCAGCUGCACUGGGGUCCUACAGGGAGCCAGGCACGGAGGGGACUAUGGACGUGCUGGCACUACUCACUCCUGGAGCAAGAGAAGCCUGAGAGUCCUGAAUAUGGGCUUCACCGUGCCUUAUGGCUUCAGCGUCUAAUUUGAAGGAUGCUAACGGAGGGAGCAGAAGAGCUCUCCAGUUCCCACGUGGGCUUUGCAGAGAACAGCUGUUGUUACCACCAUGAUGCAGCCCAUCAGCUCCUCCUUCUGACAGGGCAGCUUUUGUGAAUGCUUUUUGGAAAUAUAUGGCUUCUCUGACUUCCACCGCUUGCUCUUCUGUCCUCUAAUUAACUAAUGAGACAUAUGACGAAGCCGUGACAUGCACAAGAAAUGACAGGGCCAGCGACUGCCUCAGCAUGGCAAUCGCCUCCAGCGCCUUGUGAAGCAGCAGGCGUGGGACAAGCUAUCUGAGAUAAUAUUGGAAUAUGAGCAAUUUUAAUGGUGAGAAUAACCUGUGCCUUGAUAGAGACUCAAGGCACUUGAACCCUCAGGUUCUCCUGCCUCCCCGAGCACCCGAUGUUGCAGACGUCAGGGUGGGAGAGGAUCACUG